rnacentral:rRNA from 1 species
CACGUAGGCACCAAGCGUUGUCCGGAUUUAUUGGGCGUAAAGAGCUCGUAGGCGGUUCGGUAAGUCGGGUGUGAAAACUUUGGGCUCAACCCAAAGCCUGCACCCGAUACUGCUGUGACUUGAGUCCGGUAGGGGAGUGGGGAAUUCCUGGUGUAGCGGUGGAAUGCGCAGAUAUCAGGAGGAACACCGGUGGCGAAGGCGGAUCUCUGGGCCAUUACUGACGCUGAGGAGCGAAAGCGUGGGGAGCGAACAGG